GACGAACGCUGGCGGCGUGCCUAAUACAUGCAAGUUGAGCGCUGAAGGUUGGUACUUGUACCAACUGGAUGAGCAGCGAACGGGUGAGUAACGCGUGGGGAAUCUGCCUUUGAGCGGGGGACAACAUUUGGAAACGAAUGCUAAUACCGCAUAAAAACUUUAAACACAAGUUUUAAGUUUGAAAGAUGCAAUUGCAUCACUCAAAGAUGAUCCCGCGUUGUAUUAGCUAGUUGGUGAGGUAAAGGCUCACCAAGGCGAUGAUACAUAGCCGACCUGAGAGGGUGAUCGGCCACAGUGGGACUGAGACACGGCCCAAACUCCUACGGGAGGCAGCAGUAGGGAAGCUUCGGCAAUGGACGAAAGUCUGACCGAGCAACGCCGCGUGAGUGAAGAAGGUUGUCGGAUCGUAAAACUCUGUUGGUAGAGAAGAACGUUGGUGAGAGUGGAAAGCUCAUCAAGUGACGGUAACUACCCAGAAAGGGACGGCUAACUACGUG
rnacentral:rRNA from 1 species